AAUAAGCGGAGGAAAAGAAACUAACAAGGAUUCCCCCAGUAACGGCGAGUGAAGAGGGAACAGCCCAAAUUUGUAAUCUGGCCCUUUUGGGGUCCGAGUUGUAAUCUCGAGAACUGUUUUCCGUGCCGGACCAUGUACAAGUCUGUUGGAAUAUAGCUUCAUAGAGGGUGAGAAUCCCGUACAUGACAUGGACCACCGGUGCUUUGUGAUACAGUCUCUAAGAGUCGAGUUGUUUGGGAAUGCAGCUCAAAUUGGGUGGUAAAUUCCAUCUAAGGCUAAAUAUUGGCGAGAGACCGAUAGCGAACAAGUACCGUGAGGGAAAGAUGAAAAGCACUUUGGAAAGAGAGUUAACAGUACGUGAAAUUGUUGAAAGGGAAACGCUUGAAGUCAGCCUUGUUCUUGGUUGUUCAGCCUUAGGGUGUAUUCAACUUUGAGCAGGCCAGCAUCAGUUUUGGGUGCCGGAUAAGGGCUUAGGAAAUGUGGCAGCUUAGGCUGUGUUAUAGUCCUUUGCUUGAUACGGUGCCUGGGACUGAGGAACGCAGCGAGCCUUUUGGCGGGUCCCCUCGGGGGCCUUCUCGCUUUGGAUGCUGGCGUAAUGGCUUUAAACGACCCGUCUUGAAACAC
rnacentral:rRNA from 1 species